rnacentral:rRNA from 1 species
AUGGCGGUAGAGAGGCAUGCCGGCAAGAUAUAUACCAGAGCUUUGUUUGAGCAAUUCGAGCAUAUCCUAUAUGAGUGUGGUGCAUACCAGGUUGAGGAAAUUGAAAAAGGUAAAACAUAUGUUGCAAUACAUACAGAGGCAGAGCAUAGAGAGAAGUGGUGUCGAAUUUCAUAUAGAGUUACAGUCCUGGAUGGCGAUGAUGAAUUUGAAUGUGAAUGUGGUCAAUUUGCGCACAUGGGCCUGCUAUGUAGCCAUGUGUUGAAGGUGCUGGACUUUAUACGCGUUACAGAAAUCCUGAAGAAACACAUACUUAAAAGAUGGACAAAGAAUGCAAGGGAUAUACUACCGCCUCACCUAGUACCAGAAGGACCAUGCACAGCAAAACCCAUUUAG